GACGAACGCUGGCGGCGUGCUUAACACAUGCAAGUCGAACGGAAAGGCCCUGCUUGCAGGGUACUCGAGUGGCGAACGGGUGAGUAACACGUGGGUGAUCUGCCCUGCACUUCGGGAUAAGCCUGGGAAACUGGGUCUAAUACCGGAUAGGAGCCAUUUUUAGUGUGAUGGUUGGAAAGUUUUUUCGGUGUAGGAUGAGCUGGCGGCCUAUCAGCUUGUUGGUGGGGUAAUGGCCUACCAAGGCGGCGACGGGUAGCCGGCCUGAGAGGGUGGACGGCCACAUUGGGACUGAGAUACGGCCGAGACUCCUACGGGAGGCAGAAGUGGGGAAUAUUGCACAAUGGGCGCAAGCCUGAUGCAGCGACGCCGCGUGGGGGAUGACGGCCUUCGGGUUGUAAACUCCUUUCGCUAGGGACGAAGCUUUUUGUGACGGUACCUAGAUAAGAAGCACCGGCUAACUACGUG
rnacentral:rRNA from 1 species